GACGAACGCUGGCGGCGUGCCUAAUACAUGCAAGUAGAACGCUGAAGUAGGAGCUUGCUCUUACGGAUGAGUUGCGAACGGGUGAGUAACACGUGGGGAACCUACCUUCUAGCGGGGGAUAACACAUAGAAAUGUGUGCUAAUACCGCAUAACAAUGAUUGUUGCAUAACGAUUAUUUGAAAGGCGCAAUUGCGUCACUAGAAGAUGGCCCCGCGGUGCAUUAGCUAGUUGGUGAGGUAACGGCUCACCAAGGCAAUGAUGCAUAGCCGACCUGAGAGGGUGAUCGGCCACACUGGGACUGAGACACGGCCCAGACUCCUACGGGAGGCAGCAGUAGGGAAUCUUCGGCAAUGGACGAAAGUCUGACCGAGCAACGCCGCGUGAGUGAAGAAGGUUUUCGGAUCGUAAAACUCUGUUGUAAGAGAAGAACGUUGAUGAGAGUGGAAAGUUCAUCAAGUGACGGUAUCUUACCAGAAAGCCACGGCUAACUACGUGCCAGCAGCCGCGGUAAUACGUAGGUGGCAAGCGUUGUCCGGAUUUAUUGGGCGUAAAGCGAGCGCAGGCGGUUGAUUAAGUCUGAUGUGAAAGCCCCCGGCUCAACCGGGGAGGGUCAUUGGAAACUGGUCAACUUGAGUGCAGAAGAGGAGAGUGGAAUUCCAUGUGUAGCGGUGAAAUGCGUAGAUAUAUGGAGGAACACCAGUGGCGAAGGCGGCUCUCUGGUCUGUAACU
rnacentral:rRNA from 1 species